rnacentral:rRNA from 1 species
UACGGAGGGUGCGAGCGUUAAUCGGAAUUACUGGGCGUAAAGCGCACGCAGGCGGUUUGUUAAGCUAGAUGUGAAAGCCCCGGGCUCAACCUGGGAUGGUCAUUUAGAACUGGCAGACUAGAGUCUUGGAGAGGGGAGUGGGAUUCCAGGUGUAGCGGUGAAAUGCGUAGAUAUCUGGAGGAACAUCAGUGGCGAAGGCGACUCCCUGGCCAAAGACUGACGCUCAUGUGCGAAAGUGUGGGUAGCGAACAGG